UACGAGGGGGGCAAGCGUUGUUCGGAAUUAUUGGGCGUAAAGAGCUCGUAGGCGGUGUGUCGCGUCGGCCGUGAAAACCUGCAGCUUAACUGUGGGCUUGCGGUCGAUACGGGCAUCACUGGAGUUCGGCAGGGGAGACUGGAAUUCCUGGUGUAGCGGUGAAAUGCGCAGAUAUCAGGAGGAACACCGGUGGCGAAGGCGGGUCUCUGGGCCGAUACUGACGCUGAGGAGCGAAAGCGUGGGGAGCGAACAGG
rnacentral:rRNA from 1 species